CAGCAGCCACGGUAACACGGAUGGUGCAAGCGUUAAUCGGAAUUACUGGGCGUAAAGCGCACGCAGGCGGUCUGUCAAGUCAGAUGUGAAAUCCCCGGGCUUAACCUGGGAACUGCAUUUGAAACUGGCAGGCUAGAGUCUUGUAGAGGGGGGUAGAAUUCCAGGUGUAGCGGUGAAAUGCGUAGAGAUCUGGAGGAAUACCGGUGGCGAAGGCGGCCCCCUGGACAAAGACUGACGCUCAGGUGCGAAAGCGUGGGGAGCAAACAGGAUUAGAUACCCCUGUAGUCCCUGUCUCUUAUAC
rnacentral:rRNA from 1 species